rfam:Gossypium raimondii scaffold_14_contig_13, whole genome shotgun sequence.
AUUCCAUGAUGAGUGCACUUUCAUAAUAAUUCUUUAAUUUUUUCCCAAGCCUCAUACAAGGACUCGUCAUUCAUUUGUUGGAAGGUAGUAAUCUCGUUCCUAAACU